rnacentral:rRNA from 1 species
UCCGUAGGUGAACCUGCGGAAGGAUCAUUCAUAAUAAGUGUUUUAUGGCACUUUUAAAAAUCCAUAUCCACCUUGUGUGAAAUGUCUGUCGCUUUUCUCUUUUUUCCUCGGAAAAAAACGAAGCGGCUCAACAUCAACUCAUUUUAAUUACUUUGUCUGAAAACUAUUAUGAAUAAACUAAUUCAAAAUACAACUUUCAACAACGGAUCUCUUGGCUCUCGCAUCGAUGAAGAACGCAGCGAAAUGCGAUACGUAAUGUGAAUUGCAGAAUUCAGUGAAUCAUCGAAUCUUUGAACGCACAUUGCACUCUCUGGUAUUCCGGAGAGUAUGCUUGUUUGAGUAUCAGUAAACACCUCAAGUCUCUUCUCUAGAGAAGAGAAUUGGACUUGAGCAAUCCCAACUCUUUGCAAAAAGAGGCGGGUUGCUUGAAAUGCAGGUGCAGCUGGACAUUCUUCUGAGCUAAAAGCAUAUUUAUUUAGUCCCGUCAAACGGAUUAUUACUUUUGCUCUAGCUAAUAUAAAGGUCGAAUGUACUAUACGCUGACUGAUGCAGGAUUACCAAGUUUUACCUAGUAAAACUUGUAAACUCGAUCUCAAAUCAAGUAAGACUACCCGCUGAACUUAAGCAUAUCAAUAAGCGGAGG